rnacentral:rRNA from 1 species
AGAGUUUGAUCCUGGCUCAGGACGAACGCUGGCGGUGUGCUUCACACAUGCAAGUCGAACGGAGUAGCAAUACUCAGUGGCGGACGGGUGAGUAACACGUGGGAAUCUACCAUUAGGUGGGGAAUAACAGGCCGAAAGGACUGCUAAUGCCGCAUAUGUAGGCAUCUCGACAGAGAUGUUUAUGAAAGGAGUAAUCCGCCUUUUGAUGAGCCCGCGUCCGAUUAGCUAGUUGGUAGGGUAAAAGCCUACCAAGGCGACGAUCGGUAGGUGGUCUGAGAGGAUGAUCACCCACAAUGGGACUGAGACACGGCCCAUACUCCUACGGGAGGCAGCAGUGGGGAAUUUUACGCAAUGGGGGAAACCCUGACGUAGCGACACCGCGUGAGCGAAGAAGCCCUUUGGGGUGUAAAGCUCUGUCAACAGGAACGAAACAAAUGACGGUACCUGUGGAGGAAGCAUCGGCUAACUACGUGCCAGCAGCCGCGGUAAGACGUAGGAUGCAAGCGUUGUCCGGAUUUAUUGGGCGUAAAGAGUUCGUAGGCGGUUUGUUAAGUCUGAUGUUAAAGACCGGGGCUCAACCUCGGAAAUGCAUUGGAUGCUGGCAGACUGGAGUGCAGUAGAGGCUAGUGGAAUUCCCAGUGUAGCGGUGAAAUGCGUA